GUCUCUAGCUGUGCUGGGCUGAAUGCACCCAGAAAAAUCUGAUCUUGAAAGCUAAGCAAUCCCAGGUCUAGGUAGUACUUGGAGGACAGACCACCUUUGAAACCCAUGUGCUACAUGCA
rnacentral:rRNA from 1 species